UACAGAGGUCUCAAGCGUUGUUCGGAUUCAUUGGGCGUAAAGGGUGCGUAGGCGGCGCGGUAAGUCGGGUGUGAAAUCUCGGAGCUUAACUCCGAAACUGCAUUCGAUACUGCCGUGCUUGAGGACUGGAGAGGAGACUGGAAUUUACGGUGUAGCGGUGAAAUGCGUAGAUAUCGUAAGGAAGACCAGUGGCGAAGGCGGGUCUCCGGACAGUUCCUGACGCUGAGGCACGAAGGCCAGGGGAGCAAGCGGG
rnacentral:rRNA from 1 species